rnacentral:rRNA from 1 species
GACGAACGCUGGCGGCGUGCUUAACACAUGCAAGUCGAACGGUAAGGCCCUUCGGGGUACACGAGUGGCGAACGGGUGAGUAACACGUGGGUGAUCUGCCCUGCACUUCGGGAUAAGCCGGGGAAACUGGGUCUAAUACCGGAUAGGACCACUGCCUGCAUGGGUGGUGGUGGAAAGCUUUUGCGGUGUGGGAUGGGCCCGCGGCCUAUCAGCUUGUUGGUGGGGUGAUGGCCUACCAAGGCGACGACGGGUAGCCGGCCUGAGAGGGUGACCGGCCACACUGGGACUGAGAUACGGCCCAGACUCCUACGGGAGGCAGCAGUGGGGAAUAUUGCACAAUGGGCGCAAGCCUGAUGCAGCGACGCCGCGUGAGGGAUGACGGCCUUCGGGUUGUAAACCUCUUUCAGCACCGACGAAGCGCAAGUGACGGUAGUAGCAGAAGAAGGACCGGCCAACUACGUGCCAGCAGCCGCAGUAA